UUCAGUCUCACAGUCUCACUCUCUCACACAGUCUCGCUCCCACGCCCACCUCUCCACCGCCACUCCCUCGACUUUGACGACAUCCUAGAAAAUGCCCAUCACCGCCGCCGCGACCAACACAAUGGCACCACCACCACCCAUCUAGCCAUCCUCCGACCUCGACGACAUCCGUUACUUCGCUGGCUACUGUGUUGGUAAGAGUUGCCUUCUUUUGCGUUUCUCAGAUGGUUCCUUCACCACUAGUUUCAUAACAACCAUUGGGUUGAGGAAUUGCCGAAUUGGCUUCUCUUGUCAAAGACAAUCUUACUUGCAAGCAUCUUAUUCUCUCAGUGGAAGAGUCCUUGGUGGACUUCCUUCAGAGUGAUACCAUUACCAGGCAUAUUCAAUGAGGAUUGUUGUUGGAACUUGGACGUUGGAUGUGGUUUUGGAUGUUAAUUUGGAAUUUAUUGCGGAUGUCAUGACUCAUGUUUAUGUUGUUUUUGGACUUUGGAAUUUGGAUGUCUUGGACUUUCAGAUAUUUUGUAUGUUCAUUUGAUUUUAGAUGUUGGACGAUGUAAUAUUGUUAUUUUGGAUGUAUUGUUAAUCUAUGAACUUGGAUGUUGGACUUUGUAUUUA